UCCAUGUCAAUAUCGGCGGCUGCCUUAAUC
rnacentral:sRNA from 1 species